rnacentral:tRNA from 1 species
GCCGGUGUGGUGGAAUUGGCAGACGCGCCGGACUCAAAAUCCGGUGGGGGCAACUCCGUGCGGGUCCGACUCCCGCCACCGGCACCA